GAAAAAUCAGAGAAAAGAGAGAGAUAGAGACAGAGACAGAGACAGAGAGAGAGAGAAAGAGAGCUUUGUGUUGAUGGGUUUGAAGGAAAUUCAAGAAAUUGAAGACAAAGGAGGAAACUCAAAGCUUGACCAAGAGAUUCAACAAUUUGAAGAUUUUAGGUGAGUAAACUAAGCAACAAGGAUAGAGAAAGCCUCGGAGUCUACCCGUGUCAGCCUUUUGAUGAGCUUCCGGAAUGGAGCAAGUUAGGCUCGAGUAAAGCCAAGAAAAUCAGCCCCUUAACUUUGCCUAAGUUUUGUAUUUUGCUGAGUCUUAAUGUAUAUGCAUGUGAGAUAUAUAAGAUAUGUGUAUAAAUUAUUAUUGUGUUUUAAUGUUUUAAUUAUUUUAGUCGUCAUGUAUGCACAAGCUCGAUGGACAUUGUAAUUUUUUUUUUGUUUUGCUUCCGCCUUAGGCCUCUAUAUAAUUUAAAUAUUUUGAAAUUUUAUCUUUGAGGCCAUAGGUAAUUUAGGAUUACUGGCCGGUUACGACGCUAAACCUAUAGAGGCGGGUUUGGGUCCUAACACCAUGGCUUGUGAUACACCUUCAUGUAAGACUGCAUUUGAUUAGCUUCCGUGGACUACUUUUGCGCUGUUUGAUCUGUUGUAGUCUAUUUGGUCUGUUGCAGUAACUAUUGCAGUAGCUGCAGCCUUGGACUGCUAUGUUAAGUCUUCAUAAGAUUUUAGUGAAUUGCUUC